rnacentral:rRNA from 1 species
AGCGAACGCUAGCGGCAGGCUUAACACAUGCAAGUCGAGCGCCAGGUUUCGGCCUGGAGCGGCGAACGGGUGAGUAACACGUAGGUCACGUACCCUAUGGUGGGGAAUACCCCGGGGAAACUCGGAUCAAUGCCCCAUAUGUCCGAAAGGAUGAAAGCGCUUCGGCGCGCCAGAGGAUCGGCCUGCGGCCCAUUAUUUAAUCCUAGUUGGUGAGGUAACGGCUCACCAAGGGUACGAUGGGUAGCUGGUCUGAGAGGACGAUCAGCCACACUGGAACUGAGACACGGUCCAGACUCCUACGGGAGGCAGCAGUGGGGAAUAUUGGACAAUGGGCGAAAGCCUGAUCCAGCCAUGCCGCGUGAGUGAUGAAGGCCUUCGGGUUGUAAAGCUCUGUCGUGGGGGAAGAAGUUCUGACGGUACCCCACAAGAAAGCACCGGCUAACUCCGUGCCAGCCGCCGCUGUAA